rnacentral:rRNA from 1 species
GACGAACGUUGGCGGCGUGCUUAACACAUGCAAGUCGAACGAUGAAGCUACAGCUUGCUGUGGUGGAUUAGUGGCGAACGGGUGAGUAAUACGUGAGUAACCUGCCCUUGUCUUUGGGAUAAGCCUGGGGAAACUGGGGUCUAAUACCGGAUAUUCUGCUUUCAUCGCAUGGUGGGGGUUGGAAAGGGUUUCUGGAUAGGGAUGGGCUCACGGCCUAUCAGCUUGUUGGUGGGGUGAUGGCCUACCAAGGCGUCGACGGGUAGCCGGCCUGAGAGGGUGACCGGCCACAUUGGGACUGAGAUACGGCCCAGACUCCUACGGGAGGCAGCAGUGGGGAAUAUUGCACAAUGGACGCAAGUCUGAUGCAGCGACGCCGCGUGGGGGGAUGAAGGCUUUCGGGUUGUAAACUCCUUUCAGUACAGAACAAGGCCUUUUUGGUUGAGGGUAUGUGCAGAAGAAGCGCCGGCUAACUACGUGCCAGCAGCCGCGGUAAUACGUAGGGCGCGAGCGUUGUCCGGAAUUAUUGGGGCGUAAAGAGCUCGUAGGCGGUUUGUUGCGCCUGCUGUGAAAGACCGGGGCUUAACUUCGGGGUUGCAGUGGGUACGGGCAGACUAGAGUGUGGUAGGGGUAAUUGGAAUUCCUGGUGUAGCGGUGGAAUGCGCAGAUAUCAGGAGGAACACGGAUGGCGAAGGCAGGUUACUGGGCCACCACUGACGCUGAGGAGCGAAAGCGUGGGGUAGCGAACAGGAUUAGAUACCCUGGUAGUCCACGCCGUAAACGUUGGGCACUAGGUGUGGGGCCUUUUCCACGGGUUCUGCGCCGUAGCUAACGCAUUAAGUGCCCCGCCAGGGGAGUACGGCCGCAAGGCUAAAA